GGUGGCUCAGUGGUAGAGCACUUGCCUUGCAUGCAUAAGGCCCUGGGUUCGAUUCCCCAGCACCA
rfam:Dipodomys ordii contig_1473, whole genome shotgun sequence.